AGCUUUGCGCAGUGGCAGUAUCGUAGCCAAUGAGGUUUAUCCGAGGCGCGAUUAUUGCUAAUUGAAAACAAAAACAUCCAUGAAGAACGAGCAUUCACAAAUGAACGAAAUGUCUUAUGGUGAGGAUGUUUUUCA